UACGUAGGUGGCAAGCGUUAUCCGGAUUUAUUGGGCGUAAGGGGUGCGUAGGUGGUUUCUUAAGUCAGAGGUGAAAGGCUACGGCUCAACCGUAGUAAGCCUUUGAAACUGGGGAACUUGAGUGCAGAAGAGGAGAGUGGAAUUCCUAGUGUAGCGGUGAAAUGCGUAGAUAUUAGGAGGAACACCAGUUGCGAAGGCGGCUCUCUGGACUGUAACUGACACUGAGGCACGAAAGCGUGGGGAGCAAACAGG
rnacentral:rRNA from 1 species